CCCUUAGAUGUUCUGGGCCGCACACGCGCUACACUGAAGGAGGCAGCGUGUACUCCUGGAUCGAAAGAUUUGGGUAACCCGCGAAUCUCCUUCGUGCUAGGGAUUGAGGUUUGCAAUUAUCCUUCAUGAACGAGGGAUUCCCAGUAAGUGCAAGUCAUAAGCUUGCGCUGACUACGUCCCUGCCCUUUGUACACACCGCCCGUCGCUACUACCGAUUGAAUGAUUUAGUGAGGACUUCGGACUGGGACCGAUGCGGCUUUCGGGCUGCGUCGGUAUUCUGGAAAGAUGUCCAAACUGUAUCAUUUAGAGGAAGUAAAANUCGUANCA
rnacentral:rRNA from 1 species